AUGAACUUUAAUAUUAAGGUAUUCUUACGACAAAUGUACUUGUAUAAUUUUUGUUUGGAGUGUAUGAGCAACCAGAAGGGGAGCCUUGGCGCAGUGGUAAAGCUGCUGCCUUGUGACCAUGAGGUCACGGGUUCAAGUCCUGGAAACAGCCUCUUACAGAAAUGUAGGGAAAGGCUGCGUACUAUAGACCCAAAGUGGUCGGACCCUUCCCCGACCCUGCGCAAGUGGGAGCUACAUGCACCGGGCUGCCCAGUGUAUGAGCAACCAAAAUAUUAUUAUUGGACCAAUAGUUACAGACAAAGGGGAUUAUUAUGUUUGAAUGAGGAGCUGUAUCAAUCUGCUGAUCUGCAUGAUAUGUCUCAAGUAUCAAUUUGUUAUUGCCAAUUUAACUGCUCCAAUUUUUUUGUUGAUAUGUUAUGA
rnacentral:rRNA from 1 species